UAAUUAUUGAAUUUUAUAUACAUAUGAAAUAAGAAAUUAAUUAAACUAAAUAGACAAGGUGUAUGGGAAGUAAAUAGGGGGUAAAGUCCCAACAUAUGCCAAAAAUUCGUAAUGGGCCCUAAGGCCCAAAACCCCUUUUUUUUAACUGAAGCAACCGAACAGGAUGAACAAAAAAAGCAAUGGGUCGGUGGGCUUUAAGCCUAACGCCUGCUUGUACCGGUCCGAUCUGUGUGACAACAUCUGAGUGGGCCGUUGUACAGCUGCCCUAAGCGCAGCCGUGAGUGGCUUUUGGCCUUCAUGGAAGAAGACGUGUGGCACUUCUUCUUGGGAAUCUCUAUCGACACUUAAUGCACAUUAAACCUACUAACAUUACCUAUUCUCAUUACUAAAUCAUUAAUCAACAUUAACUAUACUUAGGAACCAUUACCAUUGACAACAGAAUAAACACAUAAACCCACAACGAGAUCUACCCAGUUUGUUCCCCUCCUAAUUUAUAAAUCAACCUUUCCUCUUACCUACGAAUCCAACAGAAGGGUAUCCCAAGAGAAUCCAUGAAACCAGAUCCAAACAAGUGAUGAUUUUAAACAUGUACAAAACAAACCCUGCCAACAGAGGAGAUUAACAAAAACUCUUAACUACAAUGUACGACGGGUUUGGUUGAAUACAGAGGUAGCCAGCCAUUACAACCGAUACCUAAUGGACGAGAAUCGCGGAUGAAACGGUCAAAAGAAGAUACAAUAAAUAGUUACCCACUCGGAGGUUCCGAAACCUUUGAAUUUGAUGAGAUCUUGUGAGUUCCAGCGAAGACUCUAGCCCAAACGGGUUUCUUCGACGAGAGUGACGACGCUUUAGGAAGGAGUCCCUGCUUCAGUCAUCAAAUGGUUCUUAUAUAGAGUUCUUGUACGAGGUUCAUCCGUCCUUAUCCUUCAUGAGCUGGCAAAUCUUGGAUAGGAUCAAUCCGUUAGAUGGAAUUUUUCUUCAGAUUUGGUGUGGACCAAAGGAAUAUCAUUUCGAGCCGAUAUGCUAUCACUUUGAGCUGAUACGCAGAUGCUGACUUUGUCGCUAUCACAGGACAUUGAUAGGGGUUGGUUGAUUCCUGCAGGUCUGCGGGAACCACUUGAUAUUCUACAUAUCCAAGACACGGAAGUGUGACCUUCGCGGCUCGGUUACAUGUAGGCUCGGUUUGGCGGCAAGCUUCCAAGAGGAUUGGCAAUGUUGCUGGUAUCACAACCAUAAAGCUUAAACCAUGUAUCUCAUGGUGUUGUACGAUAAUGGCACAAGCAAAUUCACUCCAUGUUGAUGGUUUGGUAACCGGUUUUCUUUUCAUGGUUCAACAUCUGUCAUGGUUCUGCUUGCAUGAUUCCUAUGGCAUCCAUUAUGCCAUUUGCUUUGGAAUAUCAUAUGUUCUGGUUUUGGUAGCUUGGAUCACUGUUGUAUCAUGUGGGAUGCUGCCUUUCGCAAACUGUCAUCGGAUUCACGUUUUGAUCUUAACGGUUAAUCAACGGACGUGCAGCAUGAAGUGUUGCAGUUUAGUGCAUUGGGAUGCUAUCAUUUCAACUCACCAAAGCGUUGCCAACCCUGUGCUCAAUACCAACAAUGAUAGCAGGCGAUAAUGCGACAUUCAUACAGCUAGGUUAACGAUGCAGUGGAUUUCACUGAUGUUUGAAUUACCAACAGCGUCUGACUUUUGGCCUUACGUUUUGUGCAUCGGCUCGGUGUUGUGGCUUCGCUCGCAGCUUUGGUUUCUUUUCACUGAUGUGCCACUGCUUAGUUUUGUGCAUGUUGUUGUUUGGUUGUUGUUCUUGGUCAUGGCUUGGGUGGCAGUGUAGCCUGGAUUAUGCUGCAAGUAUGUGAUGGCCAAGCUGAGAUGUCAAGAGUCUGAUUUCUUUGGACCAAUAUAUUUCCUUUCGUAACAUUUUCUCUCUGCUAUUUCUUUGGCCCUAACUGCUAUGAACUAUUCCUCUGUUGUGACUACUGCCGGUAGUUGCUGGUAUUGAUUUUAAUCUUGGACUGUUUGGGACGUCGAUUUUUACUUGGCAUGUUGUUGCUGCAGGUUCUACGGGUGCUGCAGCGUAUGACCUUGCAGUUUGGCGCAUCGUGAGAUUGCGGUUUUGGCGUUUGUAAUUUAGGCCUUAGGACUGAUCAUAACCGACUGCACGAGUUGUUGUUUUUUUUUAAAUUUGAAACGCUUAUGUUUGUAGGUCUAGAACUUCUGGUUCUACUAAUGUAAUUUAAGGCUUGGCAACUCAAACCUCAUGAUGUUUAUAUGUGAAAUCCAAUGGUAAUAGCGACUUGCUCCUUAUUUGUUCACUCUGCCCAUGCUUUGGCAACUUUCUUGUAGAUUAUGUACUCAUGGAAAUAGACAAAAGUGACCACAUUUUGUAAUGGUUUGAAAUGUAUUGGUUGUAAUUGAAGCAGGUGUUUAUAUAUGUUGUAUUUGUAAAUGAAAGGAUGAUUUGGUA